rnacentral:lncRNA from 1 species
GCCACACUUAUGUGAGAAACUUCAUGCUCCUUAAGUAAAGUUGAGUUCGCUCGUUGAGGUUUAGUAUAUAAGGUCAAAGGCGGGUAAUCUGAAUCAAAUCUAUCUUUCUCUGUGAAAACGGAGAAGUUAAAGAGCAAGCGGAGUUGUGCGCUAGUUCAUAAAUAAAUGAAGUAAUGGUUUACACUUCAAACUCGCCCUACUGCUACCUACAAUACAAGCAAGCAAUAUUGUAUCUCGUCACCAAGUAGCAAUUCACAAAACUUAAAGCAAGGGGGAAUCU